rnacentral:rRNA from 1 species
GCUGGCGGCGUGCCUAACACAUGCAAGUCGAGCGGUAACAUUUCUAGCUUGCUAGAAGAUGACGAGCGGCGGACGGGUGAGUAACGCGUAGAAAUCUACCUAGUAGUGGGGGAUAGCCCAGAGAAAUUUGGAUUAAUACCGCAUACGCCCUACGGGGGAAAGCGGGGGAUCUUCGGACCUCGUGCUAUUAGAUGAGUCUGCGUCGGAUUAGCUUGUUGGUGAGGUAAUGGCUCACCAAGGCGACGAUCCGUAGCUGGUCUGAGAGGAUGACCAGCCACACUGGAACUGAGACACGGUCCAGACUCCUACGGGAGGCAGCAGUGGGGAAUAUUGCACAAUGGGCGCAAGCCUGAUGCAGCCAUGCCGCGUGUGUGAAGAAGGCCUUAGGGUUGUAAAGCACUUUCAGCAGUGAGGAAAGGGGUGUCGUUAAUAGCGCCAUCCUGUGACGUUAACUGCAGAAGAAGGACCGGCUAACUCCGUG